UGUUGUUAGGUUGAUAAGUUAGUAAUUUUAUAUGAGAAGCAUAGACCAUAUCACAAGUUAGUGUUUGUGAUUUUGGACCCACCACACAUGCAGUAAAGACAAAAUCCAUUAUUGUUUUCAAUUGCAUUUGUUUUUGAAGACUGAAUCCCUAACCCUAACACCUGUUUCUAACACUGAAAAUAACUGACACAUGGGAAAAUAAAGAAAACAACUACUCAGGCCAUGAUUGAUCACAAAAGUAAAGAAGAUGAAAAUUGAAGAAUAAUAAAUUAAGAAAAAUAUAUAAAACAAAAUAAAAUGUUAUGAAAGUUUUGUAAUUUGAUUGAUUCAAUAAAAGAUAAAAAAGAAAUAAAACAUAUGUAAUUAUAUUUUGUAAUUUAAUUGAACAUUAUUAAUGUUGGCAACUGUCAGUAAGGUUUGUGCUUGGACUGAGUGAUUGAUGUUUCUUCUUUAAAGCAAACCCAAGAAAGCUUAAAUGGUAGUUACCAAAUUGGUAACCUUGAUGAAACAAUGUUCAACUGUGAAGCAGGCAAAGCAAAUUCAUGCCCACAUAUUGAUCAAUGGUUUUACUUUUCUUCAACCCCUUUUAAUUCAUCACAUGCUUCUUUGGGAUGUCCCUAACUAUAGAACUGUGGCACACUAUGCCUACUCAAUGCUUCACUAUUUGCACAAUCCAGAUUCCUUCUCGUGGGGUUGUGUUAUUCGGUUCUUCUCUCAAAAGGGUCUAUUCACCGAAGCUGUUUCUCUAUAUGUUGAAAUGUGCAGGAUGAGAUUGUAUCCAACUUCACAUGCUAUCUCCUCCGCACUCAAGUCAUGUGCUAGGAUUCAGAACUUGUUGGGAGGUGUAUCAAUUCAUGGGCAAGUUCAUGUGUUUGGAUUUCAUACUUGUGUUUAUGUACAAACAGCCCUUCUUGAUUUGUACUCGAAAAUGGGUGACAUGGUGACUGCUACACACGUGUUUGAUGAAAUGGCUGAGCGAAAUGUGGUUUCUUGGAAUUCUUUGUUAUCUGGCUAUCUAAAUGCAGGUAACUUGGAUGAGGCCCAAGAUUUUUUUUAUCAGAUUCCCAAGAAAGAUGUUAUAUCUUGGAACUCUAUGAUAUCUGGGUAUGCUAAGGCAGGAAAUAUGGAUCAGGCGUGUACUUUGUUUCAAAUAAUGCCAGAGAGAAACCUGGCCUCUUGGAAUGCAAUGAUCACUGGUUUCAUUGAUUGUGGAAGCAUAGUGUCAGCAAGAGAACUUUUUGAUGCAAUGCCCAGGCGAAACUGUGUAUCUUGGAUAACAAUGAUUGCUGGAUAUUCGAAGGGUGGGGAUGUUGAUUCUGCUCGUAACCUCUUUGACCAGAUGGAUCACAAAGAUUUGCUCUCGUAUAAUGCUAUGAUAUCUUGUUAUGCUCAAAAUAGCAAACCCAAGGAAGCCCUUGCACUAUUUAAUGAUAUGGUUAAACCCAACAUCUACAUACAUCCAGAUAAAAUGACUUUUGCUAGUGUUAUAUCAGCUUGUUCUCAAUUGGGGGAUCUGGAACAUUGGUCCUGGAUUGAGUCACGUAUGAAUGACUUUGGAAUUGUUUUGGAUGAUCAUUUGGCUACUGCUUUAAUUGAUUUGUACGCAAAGUGUGGAAGCAUUGGCAUGGCAUACGAGCUAUUCCAUGGCCUGAGAAAGAGGGAUUUGGUUGCAUACUCUGCAAUGAUAUACGGAUGUGGAAUAAAUGGAAAGGCCUCUGAUGCAAUCAAGUUAUUUGAACAGAUGCUUGCUGAAUGUAUUAUUCCUAAUCUAGUCACCUACACUGGACUCCUAACUGCCUAUAAUCAUGCUGGAUUGGUUGAAAAAGGUUACCAGUGCUUUAACUCCAUGAAGAACUAUGGACUCGUGCCUUCAAUUGAUCAUUAUGGAGUCAUGGUUGAUCUCUUAGGGAGGGCAGGAUAUUUGGAUGAAGCAUAUAAGCUUAUAAUAAAUAUGCCAAUGCAACCCAAUGCUGGUGUUUGGGGAGCUUUGCUUCUUGCUUGCAGAUUACACAAUAAUGUGGAUCUUGGGGAAAUAGCUGUUCAGCAUUGCAUUAAACUGGAGAGUGAUACAACUGGUUAUUGUUCUCUUCUUUCUAGCAUAUAUGCUUCUGUUGGAAAAUGGGAUGAUUCCAAGAAGAUGAGAAAGGGUGUGGAAGCAAAGGAAAUCAUCAGGAUACCUGGAUGUAGUUGGACAAGCAACUUAACUGCUCCAUGAUUGGCAGUCUUUGAGGGAUUGAAUAGUAGCAAUGAAGCAGUGACGGGAGGUGACGAGGAACGUGAUUUGGUUACUGACUCAAUGUCAUAAUUUUUCCAUUAUGUUUGAGGAAUUUGAAGCUCAUGGUCUAUAGCCUUCCCUUAACCUUUUGCUCCCCUUCAUUGGCAAUCUAGAAUGCGUUCGGCCUAGACUUAUAAGUCAACAUACAGGAAACUUGAAUGACAUACUGAUUGUAUAAGACAGUUUAUGGAUUUUUGGACUCUAUAUUUGGAUUUCUUUGGCAUUCAUGUGAGACCCCUAAUGUGAUCCAAACAUUGAUAGACUCUCAUCAUCAUCAGAAACAUGAAGAUGGAUCAAUCGGUUAUAGAGUCCAGAGAUUGGCAAGUAUCAGUUUUUGAGGGAAAGUGAAGUCAGACACAGAGCAAGCCGAAAGUUGCUGAACUGCAUGUGGUGGGUGGGUUUUCUGUAUGGUUUUAGGAUUCAGAGUCAUUUAUCCAAUGCUUCUGGUCCAUUCUUAUCCAUAAGUCCAUCUUUGCUUGUUUAUAUAUACGAUUUUAAAUGCAAUGAGUAGUGUUAAGCAAGCAGAACCUGCGAAAUAUGCAGAUGGGAUUCUGACUGAUAUUUUUAUUGAGGUAAAAACGCUUUAACAUCUAUUGAUAGGUUUUUUUCUUUUGAAUGUUUAAGUCAGUAUUCAGCAGAGGAACACCUAGUCUGCAUGAAAGGAACGAGGAAUAGAAUGUGUACUUGAUGCUGCUAAAAGUGGGAAAGAAAAGAACUUUGAGCGGUCGUUUCUUGCAAUGUAAAAGUUGGCUUAGUAUUUUGAACCUGGUAGUACUUCAAUUUUAUCUUGCUGAAGUCUGCUCUACUCUUGACAGAAGAAGACUUUAGCAAAUCAUGGCUAAACAUUUGCAUUAUCUGCUUAAAGAUAAAGAGGAAACAGCUUAAUAUUUCAUCCUUUUGACAACCACACUAUUCAAUUGGUAAGCAGGACUUGUAGAAACUAUCGUACCUUCAUCUAUUAAUUGUAUUCACUUGGGCACCUAUUUUACUUUACUCGCUUCAAUAACAUGAAAGGAUAGAAAGAUCAGA